AAGGAUUCCUGAUUCUAUGAUGUAACAACAGAGGUUGUGGGAUGACUGAGUCACUCACCCCAUCUAUGUAUCUCACGAUUUUCUAGACUUCAAACAUCAGCUCCUAUUCUCCAUGAGUCUAGAACCUCACAACCAACCCACUGAGGAAGAUUUGGGACAAGAUUUUGCACAAUGACAGCCAACUGGGCUCUGCUGGGGGGCUGCCUCCUGCUUUAGUUCCCAGGUCAAGGUCAGGGGGAAGGAAGGAUGCCCUCCAUUCCAGUUUUGUACUGAGAGUACUGGGAGCCCCAGGAAGAGGAAAAGGGGGUUAUAAAGUUAUGAGCAGAAAAGUAAUAUUAGUGCUGGGGUUUCCAGAAGAAAUGGUUGGAACUGUACAGAGACGAGUGCAAAACUGCUACUGAUACUGGGGAAAGACGAGGAGAGCCAGCAAUGCCAUCACUGGGGCUGUGGGAAGGACAUGCAGAGCUAAAUGCAAGAGAAAUCAUGGACGUGAACUUGAAAGGACUUGGUACCCGACGUGGAGGCCGAGGUAGCUGAGGAGUCAGAAAGGCAUGUGUUCACAGAAGUGGCAGAGAAUGAAGCCACAGAAACUCCCUGAGGACACGGUAAUUACAGCCGGGGCUGCCUGCGUUGUCACGCCCGCGAAGGUGCACGCAGAGCGGCCGCCCAGGGAGUGCGCACCACAGGGACCCAGCCGUCAGCGCUCCGUCGUGGAUUCAUACUCCGCGUUGCUCCACGUGGAUUGAAGGCACCGUCUCGGAGCAGCAGCAAUAAGGGAGGACGACCACCCCACACGGUUUUCCACACGCUGGAGCCACGAGGCGGGGACACACCUUUCUGUGACUGCGUGUUUUUCUUGAAGUCCCUCUCUUAGCUAACGCAUCACUUCUCCACAUCCUGUUGCCCUUCUGAGCUUUUUAUUCACUUAUCACAGGUUUCCCAACAACAGCUCCUCUGUCCUAAAUGCGUGAUGAGCAUGGUCUCAUCCAGCCUCCAAACACCCCCAUGGCACGGUGGCGGGUGCUGUUGUAUCCAUUUUAAAGAUGAGAAACUGAGGGGAGGAGAAGGGAUGCUUCCUGGCCACCCACGCACUGCGUACCACGCUGUGACACAUCCCGAAGGAGGGAAGGGUAUAGGCGCAGUCCACACUGUGCUGAUGGAACGUGACCGCCAUUGAAUAAUAUGAUACGUUGGGUCUCAAGAAUAUGUCACAUGGAAAUAAAACCCAGCUUCUGUCGGGUGCAGGGCCUAUUUGCCUCCUGGGUUACUUCGACCAUGAAAUCAGUACAUUUGAUGGGAUGACCUCAUGCUUCCCAUUCCUCGUUGAGGUCACAUUUCUGUGUUUUACAGAAUUUCCAUGACAUUCAAAGAUGUGGCCUCUUCAGUAACGGUGGCAGGAAGAUUCUGGAGAGGAAGGGAGGAAGAGGACAGGGCUGGGGGAUUUUCCUCCCCUGCAGAGUGGGGUCUGGCCUCACUGGGCCCUUGUUCCGCUGCGCCCCUGCCGGCCUCCCCUCCCGAGGUGCACCCCCCGCCCUCUGCGGCUCUGAGAGGCAGGCUCUGCCUCGGGAACAGGCUGUAACCCUCCAGCCCUGCGCUUCUGGUGUCUCCCCACUUGCCCAGCGCAGCCCUGAAUGGAGUCUUUGUAACAGCCUGGGAGACAGCUCAGAUGCUAGGAGGAGGACCACAUUCCCAAAGAAUGUCUUUA